AUCCAUUUCUGGUGAACAUCUCUGCAAGUUAAACAGAUGAAUUCAGAAGAGAGACAAUGGCAUUAUCACACAUCAAUGGUGUGUUUGAUAUGCACUAGUGUCUUUGCAGAUAUGAGACUCGCGGAACAAAGCUCAGCUUCCGCAAGCAGGAAAUGCAGAGUGUUUAUUUAGGAAGAUUGUAUCAGAUAACAUCACAACUCUUUGAUGCUCCCCUUCUUUACUUCCAUGUUUCAAACAAAAUUUACUAAAAAGUAAGAAACCAAACAGAUUCAGUCGCUUCAUAGA